CACGGCGGCCCUCUCUCCAUCUCCCACAAGAGCAGCAGCAGCACAGGGAAACGAAAUGUAAAGGCGCUGGACACUACUUUGUUUUUUUUUUUUGCAACAUCAGAGGCAUAAAGGUGAGCAGGACGAUCGCUCAUACGCAGCGUGGUUAAGAAGUCUCACAGCACAAGAGCUGCGUGGCGUCACCCGCCAUCGACCAUCCGUCUUCUCUCUGUUUUUCUCGCUUCGUUUUUCCUUUCUUCUUUGCUCGUCGACCAGUCCAUAAACUCAUAGAUCGUCUAAACACUCUACUUGACGGUGUGCAUCUCUUCCCCACCCCUCCGUCCUUAUCCCAGUCGCUCUCCCUCUCCCUCGUUGUUGUUCAUAGAACUCAGCCUUUUCGCCCCUUUCCCACCCCGGAUACCCACACGCACCCCACGAUCAAGCUCCUCUGCAGCAACAGCAAGGGCACUAUCCUCUACAUCGUCACUGGCGCUGCUCCCGCCUGCUGACCCAGCCACCGAAUCAAAUCUUCUCCCACAAAUAGCGUCCCUGUACGCGCACACGCACUGGCUCUCUAACCACAGCCAUCAUCCACAACCCCCGACCCUCACCGCCUGGCAAGCUACGUUAUCGCAUCAUGCAAGCAAGGCAACAAAUCUCCUGCGCGCUUUCCUCCUUUCCGUGGGUUCAUGGCUGAUUUGGGCGGCGAUCUUCACCGUUGUACCCCCUCUUGGCUGCUGCCCUGUCUGCGGUCACAUUCCACGCGUGGGCACUAAGCACGAUUGCGUCAGUAAUGUUCACUCUCUUCUUCGCUUGCUUAGCGCCCAAGCGGCGGUGCGGUUAUUCCUCAGGCACCACCGCUGUUGCUGCCGCUGCUGCUGCAUCCCAUCGCAAGGUUUUUUCCACCGCAGUAGCUCGCUUCAAAACUAAACCGAGGGUGCAUGAAGGCUCCAGCCCAGUGCGGUGUGCUGGCCGACCCCCGAAGAAGCAGCACGAGCGCUGCCCUCGCACAUCGCCUGCGCCGCUGUCGCAACCGCUUUCAGCGGCUUCUCCACCAUCUUCCAGCGCUGUCGCGUCGAUGAAUAACUACGCGGCCGGAGAGGAGACGUCAUCAUGCCAGCCCUCCUUCUCGCCAUCGUACCUCCUCACGGAUGCGAUGCCAGUGCGCAGCCACUUCAUGAAUCCCGUUGACUUCCUUAGCUCGUCCGAACCGCUGAUGCUCACACCAGAGGAGAAGGCGGCAGAGAAGGCGGAGAAGGCACGAAUGGUGGCGCUGCAAGAGGACGCAAGAGCGUUGGCUGCGCUGUUCGCACGGGAGCUGGCUAAGCGAAAAGCGAAGGCGAUUACUGCAGGAGUCAUAAAAGCCCGUCGACCUGCGGCAGCAGCGGCUGUGCCGGCGUCAUCGAAGCCUGCGCGUCUUGGAGGACAGCAGCAGUCUCCGCUCUUCCUCCCCACACACUCAAUCAAGCUCGCGCCGGUGGCGCCCAAACCCCAACGAAGCCACCACAAGGCCUCUGUGAAGUCCGAAAAACUGCGAGUCAAGGCGCUCAAGCGAGGGCGGAAACUGAAAACCUCACGCCGGCCACGGGCGUUGGCGGCGCAGAGGAGUUCUCCCAUUUCCAGGAAGCGUGGUCGCCACUCAAAGAUGCCCGCCGCGGCCUCCGUGUCGAUGCGCCAGCCGCAUCCGCCACUGCAGAGACGCCCCAGCCGUCCGCCCUUGCGACUGGGUGCUGCAGCGCGGAUGCGCGUUGCAGCACCCAGUCACAAGGGCGGACGGCGCGCCGCGCGGGCCCCCAAGUCUUUCGUCAUGCGUCCUCUGUCCAAGUCCACCGUGAAGGCGUGGCGACUUGCACAGCAGAAAAAGCGUGUCAUAGGCAAGGCACGCCACGGCAAGCGCAAGAAGUAGUAGUGAGCAAGCGGUGGGGGGGAGACGGCUUAGGUGAUGGGCGACGCGCCAUGGGUGUCUGCGCACGCGUUGCUCGCUCUCUUCCUCGUCUUGAUCCCUCCUCCUGUGUCUCCGCAGCCUUGCGAACCACUUCAGAAGCUUCCAUAUUUUUUUUUUUGCUUCGCCUCUUUGUGUGUGUGUGUGUGUUUUCACUCUUUCGGUUUCAUGUGGUGGAAGAGUACGGUGGUGGUGUUGUCUGCGUUCUCGGGAGCGUCACUGUCCACCUCGGCUCUCGUUCUCCGCAUCCCCGUUUCUAGUCCGAUGGACCUGCGC
rnacentral:misc_RNA from 1 species